rnacentral:rRNA from 1 species
AUUGAACGCUGGCGGCAGGCCUAACACAUGCAAGUCGAACGAGACGCGGACGGGUGAGUAAUGUCUGGGACUCUGUCUGAUGGAGGGGGACAGGUACCGGAAACGGUAGCUAAUAACGCAUACCAUCGGAUGUGCCCAGAUGGGAAUAGCUAGUAGGUGGGGUAAUGGCUCACCUAGGCGACGAUCCCUAGCUGGUCGGAGAGGAUGACCAGCCACACUGGAACUGAGACACGGGCCAGACUCCUACGGGAGGCAGCAGUGGGGAAUAUUGCACAAUGGGCGCAAGCCUGAUGCAGCCAUGCCGCGUGUGUGAAGAAGGCCUUCGGGUUGUAAAGUACUUUCAGCGGGGAGGCGUUACCCGCAGAAGAAGCACCGGCUAACUCCGUGCCAGCAGCCGCGGUAAUUC